UACGGAGGGUGCAAGCGUUAUCCGGAUUCACUGGGUUUAAAGGGUGCGUAGGCGGACAGGUAAGUCAGUGGUGAAAUCUCUGGGCUUAACUCAGAAACUGCCGUUGAUACUAUUUGUCUUGAAUAUCUUGGAGGUAAGCGGAAUAUGUCAUGUAGCGGUGAAAUGCUUAGAUAUGACAUAGAAAACCGAUAGCGAAGGCAGCUUACUCCAGGAAGAUUGACGCUGAGGCACGAAAGCGUGGGGAGCAAACAGG
rnacentral:rRNA from 1 species